rnacentral:rRNA from 1 species
AGCUCCAAUAGCGUAUAUUAAAGUUGUUGCAGUUAAAAAGCUCGUAGUUGGAUUUGUGGGUGGAGCGAGCGUCCCGACGCUCAGCGUGGGUGAGGCUCGUCUCCGUCCAUCCUUGGGUGGAAUCCGCGUGGCAUUGAGUUGUCGUGCGGGGGAUGCCCAUCUUUUACUGUGAAAAAAUUAGAGUGUUCAAAGCAGGCUUACGCCGUUGAAUAUAUUAGCAUGGAAUAAUGAGAUAGGACCUGGGUACUAUUUUGUUGGUUUGCGCACCGAGGUAAUGAUUAAUAGGGACAGUUGGGGGUAUUCGUAUUCCAUUGUCAGAGGUGAAAUUCUUGGAUUUCUGGAAGACGAACGACUGCGAAAGCAUUUACCAAGGAUGUUUUCAUUAAUCAAGAACGAAAGU